rnacentral:ncRNA from 19 species
UAGAGUUCAUAGAGAUUAGGUGCCUAUAGAUUUCGUAUUUGCGAAGUUGGUAUGGGUGAAAAGGGAAUCUGGUGAGAAUCCAGAGCGAAGCCGUCACUGUGUUAGGAAGUCUGCAUUUAUGUCACUGAGCAUGCUUGGGAAGAAAAUGUAGAUGUUGAUCGAAGUCAGGAGACCUGCCUAUUCUUCAAAUUAAUGA